rnacentral:rRNA from 1 species
UACGAAGGUGGCAAGCGUUGUUCGGAUUUACUGGGCGUAAAGGGUGCGUAGGUGGCUCUAUAAGUAUGGUGUGAAAUCUCCCGGCUUAACUGGGAGGGUGCGCCGUAGACUGUGGGGCUAGAGUGUGGGAGAGGAAAGUGGAAUUCCUGGUGUAGCGGUGAAAUGCGUAGAUAUCAGGAGGAACACCGGUGGUGUAAACGGCUUUCUGGACCAUAACUGACACUGAGGCACGAAAGCGUGGGUAGCAAACAGG